rnacentral:lncRNA from 1 species
UGUAUUUAAUUACAUUUUUACAUUAAUUUAAUUUUAUUUUCUGAGGAUAAUUCAUCAUGGUAUAAAUGCAGUAGGCAUAUUAAUUUUUAUUUAUUUAUUUAUUUAUUUGAGUUUUUAAGUAAUCUUGGUGUGUGUUUUUGUGGGAUUCGCUACACAAAAGGAUACAUUUUGAAAUUCUACAGCAUAAGCCCCAUGUGCUGUUUUUACAAACUCAUUCACACAUCAUAGACCGGUGUGCUUGACUCCUUAUGCACAUUUUUCCACUCAUCGGUUAAGUUUGCAUAUGAAUGAUGGCAAACAACCCUAGCAGUCAGCAGCACAGCUUCACCCAAACAAUUUGGCGCAACAGUCUGCCAAAUCACGAGCGUCGCUUCGCUGCACCAGGGGAGAGUGAGAGAGGAACCGCGUUCAUCAACAGUGCCUUUUUUGUGACUGUGGGGCUAAAACAAUAUAAAUAACAGGGGCCUUGAAGGAUUGGUGUGCUGCGCUCUGACAGUGAGAUAGAGUAUUGAUUGUGAGCGCAGUGCUAAAAUUGCCUGCCUCCAGGCACACAUGUUGGCAGUUCUCAGAGAAUGUGAGGCAUCCUCUGAAACACGAGAAUGCUGUCAGUUAUAGCCAUGUAGAAACAAAACACCAAACAUUUGAGAGCUGCAAUUCAGCAUUACACUCUGGCCACUUUAUGACGUCGACAUUAUCUCAGUGAGCAGCUACAGAGGGAGUCCAUUUGUCAGAAGCAGUUCCGUUCUUGUCUGUUCCUUGAAAAACAAAGUUGAGCUGAGACUCCAACGCAAUCCGCGAGCAGUGACCUAUUGGCUCUUAAGCUAACCGGUUCUCAUUUAGGAAAUGGAUGCCAUGCUGUCAGGGCAAUUUUUACAUGAUUAAAAAACCCCUAAGACAACCUUGCAUUACCUUGGCGCUCCAUUAAUAAUGUACAGGAGGCUGAUGGGACUCUAACAGUGUGGAGAGCAGCAAAUCAUGCCAGCUCAAUCUCAAAUUCAUAACCUGCCUGUCCUCUCCCAUCCACGCUGAGCACUGUGUUCCUGUGACAAGGUGUGAUGCUUUGAGCCUUGAUCAAACCCCCAACU